rnacentral:tRNA from 1 species
CGAUAAGUAGCGCACAUGGUAGAGUACUCGUCUGAUACAUGAGUGGUAGUAGGUUCGAUUCCUACCUUAUCGACCA